GUAGGUCGUUUCUCUGUGCGCACCUGCUAAAUGUGGACAGGGGUCCCCGGUUGCCCCGCGAGUCAUGGCAACUUACGCUCUCGCCUCCGUGCCUGCCUUUUACAGAUCCACCUCCCGUGUCUCCAAACCUGUUGGGGUUAGUUCACCAGUCCGAGCGGUAGAAGAUGGUGUCUUGCUGUGGCUUGUUUGAGUGGACUUCAGUAUCUUUUCCUGUCCAUUUUAUCGUGGCAAGCAAGUGCGUGGGUACCAGCCAGGAUCGGGGGCUUCAUCACCAUGCGGUGUGAUGGUGCCCACCGAGGGGCACCCCAGGCACUCUGGCAUCACAAACGCCUUCUGGGUUGAGACUUUCCAGGGAGGGUGACACGUGAGCUGGCCCUUAAAGUUGACCAAGUCAAGCAAAGGAAGGAAGGACAUUCCAGGCAGAGAGAACAGAGACCACUUCCUAUGAGGGGGACGCGAGGCUGAGCGUGGAAAUGAAGGUUAAAAGUAAGGUGGACCCUAAGGGCCUCAUUGGCCUUGCCGAGGAGUGUCUUUUGAUCCUGUAAGGGUCAGAAUGCCAAUGAGACACCAAGAUAUAUUUUGGAAGCAAUCCCCGUUGACACAGUGCUAGGGCCAGGCACCCGUGCUAAGCUCUUCGCCUGGAUUAGUCUGUGCGUCCUCUCACUAGCCUGAUAAGGUGGUACAAUUAUCCUCCCUGCUUACACACGUCCUGCCUCAUUUAUUAAUAGCACCAUCAUUCUCGCUGCUUACCAGAAGAGGAAACAGAGGCUUAGAGGUUAAAGAACGAGGGUAAGGUCCCCAUACUCCCAAGUGGCUACAAGGGCUUCAAGCCCUGCUCCUUCCCAACCUCUGUCUGCCCCCUCUGGGAGCCGCAGGCUGGGCUCUUUCCUGGAAGGGUGGAGCCUGAAGGGGACGAGAACCUUCUCAGGGAGCAGAGGCAGCUCCAGGACACCAGGCCCCCUCCCAACUUGCGGCCUGUGGUUCCCGCCGUCUAAGUUGCCUUUCAGCGAUCUCCGUGCGCAUCAAGCAAAUCCAGACACGCGUCUUUCCCUUUUUCACACAGAUGUUGGCAUGCUGCAUCCACUUUUCUGCAUUUGUUCCCCACCCCCAUUUAAUAUCUCUUGGAAUUCGUUCCGUAUCGGUUCAUAAAGAGUGUCCUUGUUGGUUUUGAUGGCUGUA